AGAGUUUGAUCAUGGCUCAGAACGUACGCUGGCGGCACGCUUAACACAUGCAAGUCGAACGCAGUAGCAAUACUGAGUGGCAGACGGGUGAGUAUAAUGUGGGAAUCUGCCUUUUGGUUCGGAAUAACUCGGGGAAACUUGAGCUAAUACCGGAUAAGCCCUUACGGGGAAAGAUUUAUCGCCGAAAGAUGAGCCCGCACUUGAUUAGCUUGUUGGUGAGGUAAAAGCUCACCAAGGCAACAAUCAAUAGCUGUUCUUAGAGGAAGACCAGCCACAUUGGGACUGAGACACGGCCCAGACUCCUACGGGAGGCAGCAGUGGGGAAUCUUGCACAAUGGGGGAAACCCUGAUGCAGCGAUGCCGCGUGAGUGAAGAAGGCCUUUGGGUUGUAAAACUCUUUCGUCGGGGAAGAAAAUGACUGUACCCGAAUAAGAAGGUCCGGCUAACUUCGUGCCAGCAGCCGCGGUAAUACGAAGGGACCUAGCGUAGUUCGGAAUUACUGGGCUUAAAGAGCUCGUAGGUGGUUAAAAAAGUUGGUGGUGAAAUCCCAAGGCUUAACCUUGGAACUGCCAUCAAAACUUUUUAGCUAGAGUGUGAUAGAGGAAAGUGGAAUUUCUAGUGUAGAGGUGAAAUUCGUAGAUAUUAGAAAGAACACCAAAUGCGAAGGCAACUUUCUGGAUCACUACUGACACUGAGGAGCGAAAGCAUGGGUAGCGAAGAGGAUUAGAUACCCUCGUAGUCCAUGCUGUAAACGAUGUGUGCUAGACGUUGGAAAUUUUAUUUUCAGUGUCGCAGCAAAAGCGUUAAGCACACCGCCUGGGGAGUACGACCGCAAGGUUAAACU
rnacentral:rRNA from 1 species